rnacentral:rRNA from 1 species
AGAGUUUGAUCCUGGCUCAGAAUCAACGCUGGCGGCGUGCCUAACACAUGCAAGUCGAGCGAGAAAGGGAGCUUCGGUUCCCAAGUAAAGCGGCGGACGGGUGAGUAACACGUGGGUAAUCUGCCCUCGGGUGGGGAAUAACUCAGGGAAACCUGGGCUAAUUCCGCAUGAUAUUCCCGAUACUCAAGUAUUGGAAAUCAAAGCUGGGGACCCUUCGGGGCCUGGCGCCUGAGGAGGAGCCCGCGGCCAAUUAGCUUGUUGGUGGGGUAAUGGCCCACCAAGGCUUCGAUUGGUAGCCGGCCUGAGAGGGCGGACGGUCACACUGGGACUGAGACACGGCCCAGACUCCUACGGGAGGCAGCAGUGGGGAAUUUUUGUCAAUGGGGGAAACCCUGAACAAGCAACGCCGCGUGGAAGACGAAGACCCUCGGGUUGUAAACUCCUGUCGGAGGGGACGAAAGUGCAGGUGGUUAAUACCCAUCAGUAUUGACGGUACCCUACGAGGAAGCCCCGGCUAACUCCGUGCCAGCAGCCGCGGUAAUACGGGGGGGGCAAGCGUUGUUCGGAAUUACUGGGCGUAAAGGGCGCGUAGGCGGACCAGACAGUCUCUCGUGAAAUCCCACGGCUCAACCGUGGAACUGCGGGAGAUACUACUGGUCUUGAGUUCGGGAGAAGAGUGUGGAAAUUCCAGUGUAACGG